rnacentral:miRNA from 1 species
UGUGUGUGCAUGUAUCUGUGCAUGUGCACGUGCACACAUGUGCAUACUUACAUAC